CCUACGGGUGGCUGCAGUGGGGAAUAUUGGACAAUGGGCGAAAGCCUGAUCCAGCCAUGCCGCGUGUGUGAAGAAGGCCUUCGGGUUGUAAAGCACUUUCAGUGGGGAAGAAAGCCUUGGGGCUAAUACCCUCGAGGAAGGACAUCACCCACAGAAGAAGCACCGGCUAACUCCGUGCCAGCAGCCGCGGUAAUACGGAGGGUGCGAGCGUUAAUCGGAAUUACUGGGCGUAAAGCGCGCGUAGGCGGUCUGAUAAGCCGGUUGUGAAAGCCCCGGGCUCAACCUGGGAACGGCAUCCGGAACUGUCAGGCUAGAGUGCAGGAGAGGAGGGUAGAAUUCCCGGUGUAGCGGUGAAAUGCGUAGAGAUCGGGAGGAAUACCAGUGGCGAAGGCGGCCUUCUGGACUGACACUGACGCUGAGGUGCGAAAGCGUGGGUAGCAAACAGGAUUAGAUACCCCGGUAGUC
rnacentral:rRNA from 1 species